rnacentral:lncRNA from 1 species
CUGGCCCCGGCUGUGCACGGAGUCUGGUGCAAUUCCCCCAAAGUCGGUGCUCAGCAAACCUCCACGUGGUGGAAUGGGUAGAAUACUCACGUAGGGAGUUGGUGUUGUUCUUGGCUGGGUCCGGCCCUUCCACCUGUCUUUCCUGGGACGCAAAGGAGGAGAGGAGAGAAGAGAGCGCUGGGGUCGACACAGUCCUGAGGAGAGCCGCCUCCCAGCAGAUGAAGAAAUAGGCUGGAGGAACCCCCUGAGAGGCAACGGUGCUAGCAUCUCGCGUGACUCCAAGACUCAUUGGUACUUGGGCUCCCUCAGCACCUCCCCAACAUGGCCCCUCCUGGCUUCUACACCAUCUUUCAUCCAACUAGAAAACCCGGCCUACUACCUGCACACCCCCUGGGAAGACCCCUAACAGCCUAUGCUAGUUUGCUGUGGCCUCCAGGUACUAGGAUGCAGCUAGCAAUCAGCCAAGCCGGUCAGGUGUCUUUGGUUUGGAUGUGGCUGCAAAGCCAAGAGGAUAGGAUACAGGAACUCACAGACCUGGUGGAACAGCCAAAGAACAAGCUUCAGAAAGGGCGGUUUCCAGGCAGCUUUAGGGGUCCAGGGAGGAAUUGCCCCCCACCCUCCAUCACCCUGAUCAAGGCCACGGGUCAGAGAGUUCCACUGGCCCAGCUGUGUCUGGUCCCCACCAUUGGCCAGGAGAUGGAGCUCCUCAGUGGACAGGCCCCUAAUCCUGCACAAAAUGGUCAGUGGUCAAGGGCAGGCCUCCAGAGUCAGAGAGCUGUGACCAGAAGAAGGGGA